rnacentral:tRNA from 1 species
CAAAGAAUAGUUUAGGUGGAAUGCUAGCUUUGGGGGUUAGUGGUGGGAGUUUGAGUCUCCCUUCUUUGA